CGGCGGACGGGUGAGUAACACGUGGAUAACCUACCUAUAAGACUGGGAUAACUUCGGGAAACCGGAGCUAAUACCGGAUAAUAUAUUGAACCGCAUGGUUCAAUAGUGAAAGACGGUUUUGCUGUCACUUAUAGAUGGAUCCGCGCCGCAUUAGCUAGUUGGUAAGGUAACGGCUUACCAAGGCAACGAUGCGUAGCCGACCUGAGAGGGUAAUCGGCCACACUGGAACUGAGACACGGUCCAGACUCCUACGGGAGGCAGCAGUG
rnacentral:rRNA from 1 species